rnacentral:rRNA from 1 species
UACGUAGGGUGCGAGCGUUGUCCGGAAUUAUUGGGCGUAAAGGGCUCGUAGGCGGUCUGUCACGUCGGGAGUGAAAACACGGGGCUUAACCCCGUGCCUGCUUCCGAUACGGGCAGACUAGAGGUAUGCAGGGGAGAACGGAAUUCCCGGUGUAGCGGUGAAAUGCGCAGAUAUCGGGAGGAACACCGGUGGCGAAGGCGGUUCUCUGGGCCUUACCUGACGCUGAGGAGCGAAAGCGUGGGGAGCGAACAGG